UUUGCUUCACCCAAAAAUAUUAAGUAGCCUGAUGCUUUUGGUAGCUUCUGCAGCUACGACUUUCUCUGAACAGUAUGUAGACUACGUAUCAAAGAAAUGCACUAAACCUAUUGUAAAUCAAAUGCUUUCAAGAAAUCAAACACUUAGGCCAAGGUACUGCUGAUAGACCCCAGGAUCAUGUGCUGAGUGCUCUUUUUAAUACUCCCUUCUAAAGCUGUACCGUGUGAAUGUACACUAACAAAAAAUCCAUAGAGAUACCGCUUGGGCAUCAACUAUCUAUUUACAGAUGGUCUCUUUUCUAAAGCUAAGUGGAUCUAUCAAUAAACAAAAAGAACAGAAUCCUAAAAUGAAGUACUCAGCCAAUUCUGCUCAAUCGUUCUUUAAAUAUUUAGCUGGUAUGAGCAGAAAGGCAAGAUCAAAAUAACAGAUUAUCCAUCUAAGCUAACACAAGGCCUAAAUGUUACUAACCUUCUCUUAUUUCUGUUCCAAAAUAUUAGAAAAUUAAAUAUGGCUUAAAAAACGAGCAAGCUUAUUAUACUCUCAAAUGAAAACUAAACAGCUGAAAGAAGCCCUUCAGCUCAUUCUUAUAAAUUGCAACUAAUGUGUAAUCCUUGUAGUGCUUAAGUCAUUUGAAUAUGAAAAGACUUCAGACAAGAGGUGCUAAUAAGAACACCCCACACUUCAGAUUUCAACUGACAUGCCAAUUUGUAUUUCAAUAAGACAGAAAAAAAAUCACUGCUAAACCUUGAGGAAAGAAAUACCUUCACUCCUACACUGUGUCCAUUUACAAUACUUAUAUGCAUAUAUUUCAGCAUCACUAAUGAAAGCCACGCUUCAGGAAGACAAUUUAAAUUGCCCUUCAAAAGGCAGAGAAAGGAACGUAUCAUUAGCAUGACACCUCUACUCCUCUUUAAUGCAAAAAAAGGUUGGUUGUGCUACAUGAAAUUACAGUUUCGAGACCUGACAGCUUCAAAAUGAAGCUGCAUUAUAAUAAAAGUUGGGUACGCAUAUCUGCUGGAGCUG
rnacentral:lncRNA from 1 species